rnacentral:lncRNA from 1 species
CUUUGAGAGAUUCGGAGUGGUUUCUGUUUGAUGAUGACUCAUCUUUGUCCAGGAACUGGAAAUCGUGGGAGCAGAGGAAAUGGGUCUCAGGAAGAAUGGUGCUGAGCCAAGCUGCCCUGUGCCUGGAAAGGGGGCCAGGAGAGUGCUAGAAACUGAGAACCAGCACCCUCCACAGACCAAGGUACUGAAGACCCCAAGACUCCUGCCUCUUUUCAGCUGAGUUCCUUGCUUCCCUGCCCCUGCCCCCUACUUCCCCGCUGAUGCGAUGGUUAAAGUGCACAUCUAGGUAUGAUUUACUGCG